UGAACAAUCAUGGAGAAAUAAAAAAAAGGCAACCCAGGGCACAAGCACUCCGCAUUAACGCAGGGUCCGGGAAAGGGCCGCAUCCAAAGGGUGUAAUAUACGCAGCCUAACCUGAUAAUUACAUCAAUGGCUAUUUUCAUGGCUUGAACCCCUGACCUUGAGGUCACGCGGAGACAACUCAACUGUUGCUCCAAGGCUCCCCUUCGAAUAAUGACAUAUUACAGCACAAUUUUUUACCAGUAACGACAAUAACAUUCUGCAAAUCUGAGGCUAGAGUAAUAACAAUCCUAUAUUUCAGUUUAUUCAAAACUAAAGUUGGUGGUAGUUAAAUAGGUUGCUAAUUUAUUUAUUGACCCAUCUAUCAUCUAAUAUCCAUCAGAGAAGGAAAGUUUAUUCCAAAGAAGAAACAAAAGGAAAAUCUGACUUCCAAUAAGCAUCCAGAAAAUUCAUUCAAGCAACAGUUAUUUACAGAAAAAAACGA